UAAAGCCUCCCUGUUUCUCCCUUCCUCUGCUCCGAUCUCUUCCUCACUCCUAUAAACCUAUCUAACCCUUCAAACCAGUCUUGCUACACUUGAAAUCCAAUGGAACUAGGAGACGAAUCAGAGGCCAACUGGCUUGAUAGUUUGGGCGAGGAGCUUGUGAGAGAGCUCUUUGAUGACAAUAUCCCUCUCUCGUCUUGCCCAGGGUCAAAGAACCUGAACCGGAUACAAGCCGCGAAUCCAUUAUCAACAACCUUAUCUCAACAGUCCACUCCGGCGCGAAAAUUGGCGAUACCGAGAGCGCACAAUCUGUAACCUUUCAGAGUGGUGAGUCAGAUGGACAUGGCGGUUCCCGACCCAUUGUACGUUCAUGAAGCCUUUCCUUCUUCGUUCGAAAGUACUCUUGUUUCUUCUCUUGGCACGUUAAAGGCUUUGAAUUUUUUUUGCGUUUGUUUAGCUAUCUAUUUGCUUACUCUUCUUGCAGUAUUUCGUUACCAGAGAAGGAUUAGGUAAGAUGGAGAGCAAGUAUACCCCUGAAGAUAAAGACCUCGCGGAACUGGGCUUGCUGAUGACGGCUACAGGUGGAGGAAGUAUGGGCAGAAAUCCAUCAAGAACAGUCCUACAUCCAAGGAGCUACUACAGGUGCACCAACCCAAGAAUGCAAUGCCAAGAAGCAGGUGGAGAGGUCGAUGGACGAUCCAGAGACACUCAUUGUCACCUAUGAAGGCCUCCACCUUCACUACACCACUCGCAUUUCUUCUUAUCCCAGAUGCAGGAUUAUUCAGCUGCUGACCUUCAUGUGUCUAAGAAACCCAAGGUCCAAUCCAUGAGCAUGCAGAACCAAGUAGCUGAUUUGCCGGUUUACAGAGAGCGCAGCAUGGAGCUCAUUGAUAAUGGAGCAGCAGCAACUGCAGCCUGGGGGCGGCGGAGGUCAAAGCCCACCAAGGAGGGCUUCUGGAAGAAGCUGUGCAGUGUCCGGUCGGAGAGGACACUUUGCAGCAGGGGUUUCUUGAUGAUCUCAUGCAGAGCCCGCAAGGGCUGUUGGAAGAUGUAGUGCCAUUGUUGGUGAGAAAACCAUCCCAUUCGACCUCCUCUUCAUAUGAUCCUCGCUUCUCAUCCCCAGCCUCUUCUCCCUUCCUAUUCCUCCCUUUCUUGGGCGCCCAUUUCUUCUUACCUUGAUGUGGGAGUACUCUCUAGCAUUAUCUGAAUGGAAACUGGUAGUCAAAAGGACAAAGAUAACAUCAUGCACGUGGUAAUUAGGUAGCUAGAAGAUAUACACUUUGACUUGGAACUGCAUGGUAAAACGUAGUCAUUCCAGUCCCCUCUUUACACCAUGUAAUGCUUCAGCGAUUGCAUAUGAGAGCAUAAUGAGGAAUACUGCAAACUCAACGAACAAUAUGUAACCAUAAGUUUAUGUACAUUAUAAGUAUUGUGUAUUUUGUUGCUGCAGGGAUCUCUGCUUAUCUUUCC